rnacentral:rRNA from 1 species
GAUGAACGCUGGCGGCGUGCUUAACACAUGCAAGUCGAACGGAAAGGCCCAAGCUUGCUUGGGUACUCGAGUGGCGAACGGGUGAGUAACACGUGGGUGAUCUGCCCUGCACUUCGGGAUAAGCCUGGGAAACUGGGUCUAAUACCGGAUAGGACCACUUCUUGGAUGUUGUGGUGGAAAGUUUUUUCGGUGUGGGAUGAGCUCGCGGCCUAUCAGCUUGUUGGUGGGGUAAUGGCCUACCAAGGCGUCGACGGGUAGCCGGCCUGAGAGGGUGUACGGCCACAUUGGGACUGGGACACGGACAAGACUCCUACGGGAGGCAGCAGUGGGGAAUAUUGCACAAUGGGCGCAAGCCUGAUGCAGCGACGCCGCGUGGGGGAUGACGGCCUUCGGGUUGUAAACUCCUUUCGCUAGGGACGAAGCGUUUUGUGACGGUACCUGGAGAAGAAGCACCGGCUAACUACGUG